AGAGAUUUAAGUUAAUUAAACUAAUAGCCUUCAAAGCUGUAAAUGAUCAAACAAUCAAUCCCUA
rnacentral:tRNA from 1 species